CCAUCGCUCAACGGAUAAAAGCUACCCCGGGGAUAACAGGCUUAUCUCCCCCAAGAGUUCACAUCGACGGGGAGGUUUGGCACCUCGAUGUCGGCUCAUCGCAUCCUGGGGCUGUAGUCGGUCCCAAGGGUUGGGCUGUUCGCCCAUUAAAGCGGUACGCGAGCUGGGUUCAGAACGUCGUGAGACAGUUCGGUCCCUAUCCGUCGUGGGCGUAGGAAAUUUGAGAGGAGCUGUCCUUAGUACGAGAGGACCGGGAUGGACAUACCUCUGGUGUACCAGUUGUCGUGCCAACGGCAUAGCUGGGUAGCUAUGUGUGGACGGGAUAAGUGCUGAAAGCAUCUAAGCAUGAAGCCCCCCUCAAGAUGAGAUUUCCCAACUUCGGUUAUAAGAUCCCUCAAAGAUGAUGAGGUUAAUAGGUUCGAGGUGGAAGCAUGGUGACAUGUGGAGCUGACGAAUACUAAUCGAUCGAAGACUUAAUCAA
rnacentral:rRNA from 1 species